CGGCCGCUCGCGGGGUGCGCCGGGGGCUCCGAUGGGAACCGAGCGCUGGGGGCCCGGGACCACACAGGUGAGCCCCGCCCGCGGGCUCCCAAUCCACCGAGUUCCCCUAUCCCACGAUCCCGCCCGCCAUCCCCUCCCCCUCGCUCCUCCACCCCAGCUCCGAAGCACUUUCCCAAGCCCGAAGGAGCCCUCGCUGCACCCCGAACCCGUUCUCCGCGUCCUGCUUUCUCCGAAGGGAAAAAAAAAGGAGAGAAAGAGAGAGAUGCAAGCAGAUGCGGCGCAAAGCGGGGCGCAGGACGGCAAGGGGCCGCUUCCAGCCUGGAGGGACUUUUCUUGGAAAGGUGGAGACCCCCGGAGGAGUGCGACUCCCCAAGGGCCCGAUGCCCUGGAGCGAAAAGGCGUUCGCUGGUCAGCCUUGCUGCCAGAAAAUUUAGCAAACUUCGGGCAGAUCCUCCCACCUGGGGCGAGAGCUCUGGCUGGCCUGGGGCUCAGCCCCGGGACCUUUCCUUUCACACUUUAAGAGCCUCAAGGCACUUUUUCCGUGGAAACCAGGCCAGCGCGAGGACAACUU
ensembl:processed_transcript Gm20033 predicted gene, 20033